rnacentral:ncRNA from 1 species
UGUACUUGGACUUCAACUUAGUACGAGCGGAACCGUUGAUUCAGAUACUUAGUUUUUGCGGCUGUCUGACCAGGCAUUGCCGCGACGCUACAAUUUGCCGGAUGAUGGCUGAACUUGGAUGGCUGUGUGUACACUGUACAGGAGGCA